UCUAUUAACGCUUUAAAUAUUAGUAAAUAUGUUUUGUUGUUUUAUUUUUUAGUUCUUUAUGAAUAAUAUUAAUUAAUAAAUUGAUAUUAGUCAAAACCCCGUUUAUAAAAUAACGCUGAUCAGGGGAAGUAAUUGUUGCGGUCUAUGAUUUUGUUUCCCGUCUUUGAUUAUCGUUCGUGCAAAUGGUGGCGCUGUUUGGAAAAUUUGAAAACAAGACGAUUGGCAAUUUAUUUGGAUUUUCGAAGAUCCUGGUCCUAGCUGAAAUUUAGAGUAUUGCAGCUGUAGCCUGUAUACCAUACAUUCAACAUGAAAAGGACUGUCAGGAUGCUGCAUAAAAUAGUCUUAGUUAGAGCCUAGAAUGUUAAUUUCUUGGGAAUAUGCUGCAAGGAACUGACGGGGAGCAGUUUUUCUUACCAAUCAUAGAAGCAGUAAGAGACAGCCAAAGAAGUACUCAAACACUUGACAUACCCAGAAAGAUCUAGAAGAAAAGAUUGGAACAGAUUGUAGAUUAAUUGUUAAAACUAUUAAAGUGUAUUUAAGCUGCACUUGAACUGUAUUUUUGAAAUAAAAUGUCUGAAGUAUUUAAUAUUGUCUUGAUAUUUUGUUAAACUUGGUUACUUUGCUUUAUAUCCAAAAAUUAAAGUAUGGUGGGUUUUCAACGUUAAAAUGACAUUGAAACUUCAACGUUGUGCCAACGUUGUAUCAACGUUGAAAUUUCAACGUUGUUUCAACUUUCAAAUCCGAAUAUAAAUCCAACCUUAUUUCAACGUUGAAAUCUGACCAUAAUUCAACGUUGAAACAACGUUGAUGUGCCUGCUGGGAUAAUGCCACAAUAUCCAGUCACACUGGACCUAAGCUAGCAUGAUCUAUAUUUAAUAAUGCCACAAUAUCCAGUCACACUUGACAAAAGCUAGCAUGAUCUAUGUUUAAUAAUGCCUAAAAUAUCCAUUCACACUUGACCUAAGCUAGCAUGAUCUAUGUUUAAUAAUGCCACAAUAUCCAGUCACACUUGACCUAAGCUAGCAUGAUCUA